UCCAUCAGUGCAUAUCUAAUUCUAGAUACAUGUAGUUACAGCUUAGAAAUUGGAAUAGAAAAACUCACAUAUAAGAAGUCUCUACUGGAUUUUGACUUCGAUCAAAAACAAAGAUUUAGUCUGUUGAAUGUCAUACAAAUAGAUUAUUCCAUAGAUGACAUGAAGUCACAAGACGUAUAUUUAAUCAACUUGGACAUGAGCGUAUGUUUUGAAUCGCACAGCAGCUGUGAAUUUACCAUUAGUAUAUUCAAGAAUAUGUAUUU